rnacentral:rRNA from 1 species
CCUACGGGUGGCAGCAGUGGGGAAUAUUGGGCAAUGGGCGCAAGCCUGACCCAGCAACGCCGCGUGAAGGAAGAAGGCUUUCGGGUUGUAAACUUCUUUUAAGAGGGAAGAGCAGAAGACGGUACCUCUUGAAUAAGCCACGGCUAACUCCGUGCCAGCAGCCGAGGUAAUAAGUAGUUGGCAGGCGUUGUCCGGAUUUACUGGGUGUAAAGGGCGUGUAGCCGGGCUGACAAGUCAGAUGUGAAAUUCCGGGGCUCAACCCCGGACCUGCAUUUGAAACUGUUAGUCUUGAGUAUCGGAGAGGCAGGCGGAAUUCCUAGUGUAGCGGUGAAAUGCGUAGAUAUUAGGAGGAACACCAGUGGCGAAGGCGGCCUGCUGGACGACAACUGACGGUGAGGCGCGAAAGCGUGGGGAGCAAACAGGAUUAGAUACCCGAGUAGUC